rnacentral:rRNA from 1 species
GAUGAACGCUAGCUACAGGCUUAACACACGCAAGUCGAGGGGCAGCAUGAAAGGAACUUCGGUUCUUUUUCGAUGGCGACCGGCGCACGGGUGCGUAACGCGUAUCGAACCUGCCUCAUACUCGGGGAUAGCCUUGCGAAAGUAAGAUUAAUACCCGGCGGUCUCGGAUGGCCGCAUGACUGUCCGAGUGAAGAUUUAUCGGUAUGAGAUGGCGAUGCGUCCCAUUAGCUUGUUGGUGGGGUAACGGCUCACCAAGGCAUCGAUGGGUAGGGGUUCUGAGAGGAAGGUCCCCCACAUUGGAACUGAGACACGGUCCAAACUCCUACGGGAGGCAGCAGUGAGGAAUAUUGGUCAAUGGACGAAAGUCUGAACCAGCCAAGUAGCGUGCAGGAUGACGGCCCUCUGGGUUGUAAACUGCUUUUAGUUGGGAAUAAAAAGAGGGACGUGUCCCUUAUUGUAUGUACCAUCAGAAAAAGGACCGGCUAAUUCCGUGCCAGCAGCCGCGGUAAUACGGUAGGUCCAGGCGUUAUCCGGAUUUAUUGGGUUUAAAGGGAGCGCAGGCGGCGGCGUAAGUCAGUUGUGAAAUCGUGCGGCUUAACCGUGCAAUUGCAGUUGAUACUGCGUCGCUUGAGUGCACACAGGGAUGUUGGAAUUCAUGGUGUAGCGGUGAAAUGCUUAGAUAUCAUGAAGAACUCCGAUCGCGAAGGCAUAUGUCCGGAGUGCAACUGACGCUGAGGCUCGAAAGUGUNGGUAUCAAACAGG